rnacentral:rRNA from 1 species
GGACUACCCGGGUAUCUAAUCCUGUUUGCUCCCCACGCUUUCGUGCCUCAGCGUCAGUUAUGGACCAGUGAGCCGCCUUCGCCACUGGUGUUCUUGCGAAUAUCUACGAAUUUCACCUCUACACUCGCAGUUCCACUCACCUCUUCCAUACUCAAGAUUCCCAGUAUCAAAGGCAGUUCUGGAGUUGAGCUCCAGGAUUUCACCUCUGACUUAAAAACCCGCCUACGCACCCUUUACGCCCAGUGAUUCCGAGCAACGCUAGCCCCCUUCGUAUUACCGCGGCUGCUGGCAC